rnacentral:rRNA from 1 species
ACGGAGGGUGCAAGCGUUAUCCGGAAUCACUGGGUUUAAAGGGUGCGUAGGCGGAAAUUUAAGUCAGUGGUGAAAUCUUGUCGCUUAACGAUAAAAUUGCCAUUGAUACUGAAUUUCUUGAAUUGGGUUGAGGUUAGCGGAAUGUGACAUGUAGCGGUGAAAUGCAUAGAUAUGUCAUGGAACACCAAUUGCGAAGGCAGCUAGCUGGGCCUUGAUUGACGCUGAGGCACGAAAGCGUGGGUAGCGAACAGGAUUAGAUACCCUGGUAGUCCACGCCCUAAACGAUGCUAACUCGAUGUUUGGGCAGUAAGCUUGAGCAUCCAAGGGAAACCGAUAAGUUAGCCACCUGGGGAGUACGACCGCAAGGUUG